AGUGGCAGACGGGUGAGUAACGCGUGGGAACAUACCUUUCGGUACGGAACAACAGUUGGAAACGACUGCUAAUACCGUAUACGCCCUCAGGGGGAAAGAUUUAUCGCCGAGAGAUUGGCCCGCGUUGGAUUAGCUAGUUGGUGGGGUAAUGGCCUACCAAGGCGACGAUCCAUAGCUGGUCUGAGAGGAUGAUCAGCCACACUGGGACUGAGACACGGCCCAGACUCCUACGGGAGGCAGCAGUGGGGAAUAUUGGACAAUGGGCGCAAGCCUGAUCCAGCCAUGCCGCGUGAGUGAUGAAGGCCUUAGGGUUGUAAAGCUCUUUCGCCGGUGAAGAUAAUGACGGUAACCGGUAAAGAAGCCCCGGCUAACUUCGUGCCAGCAGCCGCGGUAAUACGAAGGGGGCUAGCGUUGUUCGGAAUUACUGGGCGUAAAGCGCACGUAGGCUGACUUUUAAGUCAGGGGUGAAAUCCCGGGGCUCAACCUCGGAACUGCCUUUGAUACUGGAAGUCUUGAGUCCGAGAGAGGUGAGUGGAACUCCGAGUGUAGAGGUGAAAUUCGUAGAUAUUCGGAAGAACACCAGUGGCGAAGGCGACUCACUGG
rnacentral:rRNA from 1 species